GUAUAUUCUUUUAGAAGAUAAUAUUUUUUUGGACAACUCCGCACUCACUCAUAAUCCCUCUCUGGAACGUGCUUAAAAGUGGAGAUUAGUAAAGUAGUAUGAAAAAGAAACUAAGUUAGUGAACCUUCCAGGCUUCCACCGCCCCGUCACAUUUCUCUUUCUUCCCCAUUCUUCCCUCCCUCCCUCUCCUUCCAUGGCACACGCCAGAUUCCCCAUCCACAGCCGGCGCUCUGGGGUGGCCGCCCCUCCCCGAAGUUACCACUGCCGCCGGCCGCGCAGGCUCCUAAUCUGCCCCGCCCCUCCCCUUGGUCACCUCAGCCGGCGGCCACGGAGACCCCUGAUGUGACCCGCCCUCCCCUUCGUCACAAUUGUCGGUGGCCGCGCAGGCCCUUGAUCUGCCCCGCCCCUUCUUCAUAUAAGGUCGUCGAGGUGCUCGAGGAUGCGCUCGAGCUCGGCAUGCAUGCCGGUGACGCCGGGGCCCUCCCUCCUCCUAAUACAGUCGCCGUCGCCGCCAUGAGCGUCUCCACCUUCUCCCGCGUGCCAAGAACUCCCCUCCCCUUGCUCGGGACGACAGCAAGGUCAUGUUUCAACUCUUCUUCUCCCUUCGAUCCGGAUGCUCUGCCGAAGAUAGCAUGAAGGUCGGGUUCCUACAGAGGGUGUGUGGCCUAGGGUGAAGAAUAAAUAAUUAUGCUCCCUGGUCGAUGGACCCAGCCAUAUGUCGCGCCCGGCCACACCGUCCUGCUUCUGAGGAAAAGGCCACACGAGUUCCUGUUGUAAAAUUACAUCGCCAUGAAGUAAUUUUUCGUUUAGUAGUCAAUGUGUACGUGCAAUGCACGUUAAUUUGGAAGUAUAUUAAGUGCAUGCGGAUAUUAAUUAGGGUAUUAUUUGUAUGUUAUUAUGUGAUUAGCACUAUAUUUGGCAUGAAAUUAACUGCAUGUUAAACGUGUUGAGCGCUCGACAAUGAAGCAGUCUAGCUCGUUGGAUUGACAUGAUUUGAUGGCCGAGAUUAAUUGGAUCUGCUCCUUUGGGUCUUUCUAUAUUGGUAUAGAUAUAGAUAUAGAUUCCUAAAAAAAAAGAAAAAUACCCCCACUUCCUCCUUCACCGUGUCUUUCACACCAGCAUUUUCAAUCCGCCGUCUCAAACUGUAUCCCGCGACGGAAGUGGAUCCUCUAACACGAAGGAGGAAAGUCACAUAAGCUACAGUGCAAGCUAGUGUAAAACAGAGAAGGAAAGUCACGGGUACUGUAGCUAACACUGUAUUUAUCUACUGUAGCAGGUACUGUACACAAUUACUAUUGAUAUAAAUAAAUUUAAAUUGUUUUUAUUGCAUCAUAAUUUUAUUUGUGUGUAACUUUUGUAAAUGUAUAAAGUAGAUUUGUAAUUUGCAAAUUAAAUCGUAUGAAAGUGAAGAAGAAUUGUAGCUGGUGACUCCACUUCCUCCUCCGACGGGCGACGACGAUGACCGGAAACCCAAUUCUGCAACCCCGCCUCAAUCCCCUCCGGUUUGAUGGUACUUCUUUCUGCGAAUGUGCGGGGCAAGGUCAGAUCGACUCUCGCGGUGGAAAUCUGGUGCAGGGCGCCGCCGCAGUGCCGUUCGGAAUCAUAGCACUGCUGCGCUGCCAUGGGCGUCCACCUGGUUCCAAAGACCGAGCCCGUCGUCCCUGUGAAAUGGCUGCACGCCAACCUCAGCACACUGAUGUGAAGGUAGCAUAUACCUGGUGCUGAAUUGCGGAUGCUUCGUGCUUAUGGACAUGACAGUAUGGGUUUAGGAUGAAGGUUUGCCCCCAAUGUUGUGCUUCUGGGAAUGACGUGGAAUCGAGUGCCUCUAGUGAUGCCAUCUUAAAAGCUAGUGCUGCUAGCGAGCAAUUAAUAAAAUUUAUCAGGACAGUCAACAAAGGCAAAUCAGUACAGGGCUGAAGAGCUUUCCUACGUCUUCCACGAUUUGAAUGAAACUAAUCCUUUACUUGAUUCACUGGAGAAGUUCAAGCAUCCAGAUGUACAAAAACUUGCUUUCAAGCUGCACUUCUGUAUUCUCCAAAAAUUAGAAAGCUGCUCCUAUGUAGAAGAUGAUUUUUUUUUUUUGCGAAGAUGUUUUUUCUUGUUGCCAGUUAUUGUAACUUGUCUAUGACUCUGCUUGUACGCUUCUUGGAUUCGUCACCCACAUUGUCGGCUGUUUGCCGUUCGAAAUAGUGCAGUGCAAAUGUCUUGGAUGGAUCUAA